AAGGAUCAUUACCAAAAAUUCCACACACACACCGCGCGAACAGUAGGCGUCAUUUUGUAUUUGUCUUGGCCCCUGGGUACCGUAAGGCACUAGGGGGCCAUGCACAUCACACACCCCUUUUUUACAAUUUUCCAAACUGACUUUCAAAAACAAAAAAUUAUAAAACAACUUUUAGCGGUGGAUCUCUCGGCUCGU
rnacentral:misc_RNA from 1 species